rnacentral:misc_RNA from 1 species
UGGACUUUGGGCUGACUAACCUAUUGAAGUGGAUAGCAUCGGUUGAGCUGAGUCAUAUGGAGUAAUGUGUGGAAGUUUCACCAUAAACUUGCUAGGCUCAAAAGCUAUUGGGAAAAGGACGCAAUCUGCAACACGCAGUAGUUCGAGGUGGCGUCGCUGAUGGGUCUGGCCAAAGAAAAUGAGCUAAGCCAAAAUGGGUCCUUAAGUCAACCAAUUGAGGAGAUGUUCAGAAGCUAUGGGCCCUUUCUAGCAUUGCUAGUGAUGGAUUCAAAGUGAUUUAGAGGCGAGUUGGAUUCAAUGAGCAUGAAAUGUGAUGGUGCAAACGUUGAGGUAGAGCUAGGUUGGAUGGAGGAGUCGCUGUCUCUGUGAUAGCAUCACAAUAGGUGAGGAUGGAGCUAAGUGGCAUUCUAGUUUAGGUUAAAAAAAGGCUAUUUGUGUUUUUGGGUGAAACGGCAUUGAUGGGAGACGUUUUGGGGCUUAAGCAGAAGAGUUUUUAUGAAAAUUCCUAAAUCUAAAGGUCAAAAAUUAAAAUAAAAUAAAAUAA